AUUGAACGCUGGCGGCAUGCUUUACACAUGCAAGUCGAACGGUAACAGGUUAAGCUGACGAGUGGCGAACGGGUGAGUAAUGCAUCGGAACGUGCCCGGUCGUGGGGGAUAACGCAGCGAAAGCUGCGCUAAUACCGCAUACGAUCUGAGGAUGAAAGCGGGGGACCGUAAGGCCUCGCGCGAUCGGAGCGGCCGAUGUCAGAUUAGGUAGUUGGUGGGGUAAAGGCUCACCAAGCCAACGAUCUGUAGCUGGUCUGAGAGGACGACCAGCCACACUGGGACUGAGACACGGCCCAGACUCCUACGGGAGGCAGCAGUGGGGAAUUUUGGACAAUGGGCGAAAGCCUGAUCCAGCAAUGCCGCGUGCAAGAAGAAGGCCUUCGGGUUGUAAACUGCUUUUGUACGGAGCGAAAAGGUCUCCUCUAAUACAGGGGGCUCAUGACGGUACCGUAAGAAUAAGCACCGGCUAACUGCGUGCCAGCCGCCGCUGUAA
rnacentral:rRNA from 1 species